UUUGAUAUUAUUGAUCAUCUGUUUCUACUAAAAGGGCACAAGCAAUGGCUUGAUUUAGUUAUUGGGCGUAGUUAAUGACUUAAACUUAGUGUGGCUCUUAGGAUAUUGCUCAGAGGACACAAAGAGUUUUUUGCUAUGGAAACAAAGGCUUGAGACCAUGCUCCGUGCAGCUCAAGGAUUGGCUUAUUUGCAUGAACUCCAGGCGUUGGUAUGGCUAAAGAAAGGUAUUGGAGACAAUACUCAUUUUGUUACUGCAAGAGUACCGGAAGAAACGACUAUGCAUCUCGGGAAUACGUAGAACCCGUCAUCACAGGAACCACAUCGAUGUAAAUAUCUUUGGAAUUGUUACGUACAUGAUUAUUGUUGGUCUUCGCACACUCAAG